UACGGAAGGCAGCAGUGGGGAAUAUUGCACAAUGGGCGCAAGCCUGAUGCAGCCAUGCCGCGUGUAUGAAAAAGGCCUUCGGGUUGUAAAGUACUUUCAGUCGUGAGGAAGGUGUUAAGGUUAAUAACCUUAGCAAUUGACGUUAGCGACAGAAGAAGCACCGGCUAACUCCGUGCCAGCAGCCGCAGUAAUACGGAGGGUGCGAGCGUUAAUCGGAAUUACUGGGCGUAAAGGGCACGCAGGCGGUUAAUUAAGUUGGAUGUGAAAUCCCCGGGCUUAACCUGGGAAUGGCAUUCAAGACUGGUUAGCUAGAGUCUUGUAGAGGGGGUAGAAUUCCAUGUGUAGCGGUGAAAUGCGUAGAGAUGUGGAGGAAUACCGGUGGCGAAGGCGGCCCCUGGACAAAGACUGACGCUCAUGUGCGAAAGCGUGGGGAGCGAAAC
rnacentral:rRNA from 1 species